AUUGAACGCUGGCGGCAUGCUUUACACAUGCAAGUCGAACGGUAACCGGCCUUCGGGUGCUUACGAGGGGCGCGCGGGAGGGUCAUGUAUCGGAACGUCCCCCGACGUGGGGGAUAACGCAACAAAAGCGGGCCUAAUACCGCAUUUGACCUGAGGAUGAAAGCGGGGGGCUGAACAGCAAUGUUUGGCCUCGCGGCUUCGGCGCGGUCGCUGUCGGAUUGGCUAGUUGGUGGGGUAAAGGCCUACCAAGGCGAGCAUCCGUAGCUGGUCUGAGAGGGAGAUCGGCCACCCUGGAACUGAGACACGGCCAAGACGCCUACGGGAGGCAGCAGUGGGGAAUGGUGGGCAAUGGGCGCAAGCCUGACCCAGCAAGGCCGCGUGCGGGAAGAAGGCCUUCGGGUUGUAAACCGCUUUUGGGAGGAACGAAACGGUGUCCGCUAAUACCGGGCGCUAGUGACGGUACCUGCAGAAGAAGCACCGGCUAACUACGUG
rnacentral:rRNA from 1 species